rnacentral:rRNA from 1 species
GUCCACGCCCUAAACGAUGGGCACUAGGUGUGGGAGGUAUCGACCCCUUCCGUGCCGCAGCUAACGCAUUAAGUGCCCCGCCUGGGGAGUACGGUCGCAAGGCUAAAACUCAAAGGAAUUGACGGGGGCCCGCACAAGCGGUGGAGCAUGUGGUUUAAUUCGACGCAACGCGAAGAACCUUACCUGGGCUUGACAUCCCUGGAACCCCUGUGAAAGCAGGGGGUGCCCCGAAAGGGGAGCCAGGAGACAGGUGCUGCAUGGCUGUCGU